UGAACGCUGGCGGCAGGCCUAACACAUGCAAGUCGAGCGGCAGCGGGAAGUAGUUUACUACUUUGCCGGCGAGCGGCGGACGGGUGAGUAAUGUCUGGGAAACUGCCUGAUGGAGGGGGAUAACUACUGGAAACGGUAGCUAAUACCGCAUAACGUCUUCGGAACCAAAGUGGGGGAUCUUCGGACCUCACGCCAUCGGAUGUGCCCAGAUGGGAUUAGCUAGUAGGUGAGGUAAUGGCUCACCUAGGCGACGAUCCCUAGCUGGUCUGAGAGGAUGACCAGCCACACUGGAACUGAGACACGGUCCAGACUCCUACGGGAGGCAGCAGUGGGGAAUAUUGCACAAUGGGCGCAAGCCUGAUGCAGCCAUGCCGCGUGUGUGAAGAAGGCCUUCGGGUUGUAAAGCACUUUCAGCGAGGAGGAAGGCAUAAGGAUUAAUAAUCUUUGUGAUUGACGUUACUCGCAGAAGAAGCACCGGCUAACUCCGUGCCAGCAGCCGCGGUAAUACGGAGGGUGCAAGCGUUAAUCGGAAUUACUGGGCGUAAAGCGCACGCAGGCGGUUUGUUAAGUCAGAUGUGAAAUCCCCGCGCUUAACGUGGGAACUGCAUUUGAAACUGGCAAGCUAGAGUCUUGUAGAGGGGGGUAGAAUUCCAGGUGUAGCGGUGAAAUGCGUAGAGAUCUGGAGGAAUACCGGUGGCGAAGGCGGCCCCCU
rnacentral:rRNA from 1 species